AAACAAUAAAAAGUAGAAAAAAUUCAAAAAUUUUUUGGUAGGGAGAGGGAGAAUUGAGUGAGUCAGAAUCAGAGAAAUGGCGGUGAGUCGAAACUAACAACAUUAUGAGGAUGUAUUCUGGAAUCGAGGGUCAUCCAUUCCGGGCUUCAGAUCGGGGAAACUACGAUUUGUUUCAAUGAUUGCCGAGUUCUACUCCAAUCGAAUCACACAUUGUUCGAGCGUUGCGAAGAUCAGCUUCCCACCACAUCGUUUCGAUUUUCUUCCUACAUGUUUUUGGUUAUGGAUCGAGGAAGGCGGAAUAGGUUCAAAUGCUUCAAAAUUCUUGCACAAUAAAAGUGAUUUAGAGUGUUAGAAAUUAUGCUUCGAGAUGAUUUUCCAUACUUAUGUCAGCAUAUAUAUAUACAUUUACUCAUAGAGAA